GAUCGAGUUUGAUCCUGGCUCAGAUUGAACGCUGGCGGAAUGCUUUACACACGCAAGUCGAACGGUAGAGGGGACAACCCCUUGAGAGUGGCGAACGGAUGAGUAAUAUAUCGGAACGUGCCCAGUCGUGGGGGAUAACGUAGUGAAAAUUACGCUAAUACCGCAUACGAUCUAAGGAUGAAAGCGGGGGAUCGCAAGACCUCGCGCGACUGGAGCGGCCGAUAUCAGAUUAGGUAGUUGGUGAGGUAAAAGCUCACCAAGCCGACGAUCUGUAGCUGGUUUGAGAGAACGACCAGCCACACUGGGACUGAGACACGGCCCAGACUCCGUACGGGAGCAGCAGUGGGGAAUAUUGCACAAUGGGGCAAAGCCUGAUGCAGCAACG
rnacentral:rRNA from 1 species